AUCAUGCUCACUACACAGGAGCUGAAAAUCACAAAGUUAAAGAUCACUGUGUAAUGGUUCGGGUACACAAUACAUUUCCAGUAAGAGUUCUGAUGGAUGACAAAUUGGUUUCUGACGUGGCUGUGCCGUUCUUUCUCCCCUUAACGGUGGUCGAAUAUUUCAGUCUAGUCUCCAGGUUUUAGCCUUGGACUGAACUAAAAGGUUACGGAUCCCUCUGUUUGUAAUUGUUUCCUGUUGUUGUGUACAAUGAAAAUGUGCAACGGACGAUCUCACCUGCUGAUUCAGCUAAUUUACAUUACAUUUU